rnacentral:piRNA from 1 species
UCACUGUGGCUGCAUCCCAGUGGACUAUCCCC